ACUCCUGUGCCCUAUUGGAUAAGGUGUUGGCCUCCGUAGCCAAAGAUUGCGGGGUUCGAGUCCUGCCAGGGGCA